CCCCGGCGAGGGGAGUGAAAAAGAACCUGAAACCGUGUACGUACAAGCAGUGGGAGCCUCUUAAUGGGGUGACUGCGUACCUUUUGUAUAAUGGGUCAGCGACUUAUAUUCUGUAGCAAGGUUAACCGAAUAGGGGAGCCGAAGGGAAACCGAGUCUUAACUGGGCGUUAAGUUGCAGGGUAUAGACCCGAAACCCGGUGAUCUAGCCAUGGGCAGGUUGAAGGUUGGGUAACACUAACUGGAGGACCGAACCGACUAAUGUUGAAAAAUUAGCGGAUGACUUGUGGCUGGGGGUGAAAGGCCAAUCAAACCGGGAGAUAGCUGGUUCUCCCCGAAAGCUAUUUAGGUAGCGCCUCGUGAAUUCAUCUCCGGGGGUAGAGCACUGUUUCGGCAAGGGGGUCAUCCCGACUUACCAACCCGAUGCAAACUGCGAAUACCGGAGAAUGUUAUCACGGGAGACACACGGCGGGUGCUAACGUCCGUCGUGAAGAGGGAAACAACCCAGACCGCCAGCUAAGGUCCCAAAGUCAUGGUUAAGUGGGAAACGAUGUGGGAAGGCCCAGACAGCCAGGAUGUUGGCUUAGAAGCAGCCAUCAUUUAAAGAAAGCGUAAUAGCUCACUGGUCGAGUCGGCCUGCGCGGAAGAUGUAACGGGGCUAAACCAUGCACCGAAGCUGCGGCAGCGACACUAUGUGUUGUUGGGUAGGGGAGCG
rnacentral:rRNA from 1 species